rnacentral:rRNA from 1 species
ACGGAAGGCAGCAGUGGGGAAUAUUGCACAAUGGGGGAAACCCUGAUGCAGCGACGCCGCGUGAGUGAAGAAGUUAUUCGUAAUGUAAAGCUCUAUCAGCAGGGAAGAAAAUGACGGUACCUGACUAAGAAGCCCCGGCUAACUACGUGCCAGCAGCCGCGGUAAUACGUAGGGGGCAAGCGUUAUCCGGAUUUACUGGGUGUAAAGGGAGCGUAGACGGAAUGGCAAGUUUGAAGUGAAAACCCUGGGCUUAACCCAGGACUUGCUUUGAAAACUGUUAAUCUAGAGUACUGGAGGGGUAUGGGGAAUUUCUAGUGUAGUAGUAAAAUGCGUAGAGAUUAGGAAGAACACCGGAGGCGAAGGCGCCAUACUGGACAGAUACUGACGUUGAGGCUCGAAAGCGUGGGGAGCAAACAGGAUUAGAUACCCUGGUA